rnacentral:tRNA from 1 species
UAUUUUAAUAGCUUAUAUUUAGAGCAUAAUAUUGAAGAUAUUAAGGAAGUUAUUUACUUUAAAAUAU